UCAAACAUAUUGCAGACUCAUGCCAUAGAGAUUUGGCUCCUUAAUUUGAAUAGUAGCAGCUCAAGGUCCUGAUGUGAUGGCAAAGAAAGAACUGUCAUCCUUGCUUACAGACAACAUUCAGCCAGUGGAUAAUAUUUGAUAUGUGCAAUUUUUUGUUAUCUUGAUUCUCAAAACAUGUACUUUGUGAGUGCUAAACAGGGAAAUUAGAAACCUUAUAAUAAGAUAUUUCUUUAGUUAAACCAAUUUCUCCCCAGAUGAUGAGGUUGUUACCACAGACUUUGAUCAAACAGAGUGCUUCUAAAGCAAGAACACACUGGUUGGAAAUACAUGAGAGGGAGAAAUAACUGAGAGCAUCAGUUGCUCACAGGAUGAUUAUGGUCCAUCAAUGUGAUCUGACUGUGAAGAAGAGACAAGCACUUUACUCAAAAAAGAGCAGCUCCCAUACCAUCUUUCUGCCUGUUCUAUCUACUAAGUUACAGCACAUGCUUCUCUCUCAGUUUUGGCAAUGAAGAAAGUAGACGCAUGAUGCCGCACCAUCUGUUUCUGGCUGUUAGUGGGGGUAGGAAGGGGCAGAGAUCGUAUACCCCAAUUUCCCCACACACCAUGAGAAAAUACCAGUGGAUAACCUUUAUUUCCCUUCGGCUAUGAGGUGUAUGGAGCAAACUCAGCCGCCUUACUUAAAUGCAGCAUUGCGCUGGAGUCCCAGAAGUCACUUAUAUGCGCUGCUGCGUGAUGGAGCGGUCUGGCCCCAUAGCUGUGUUCCUGGGGUAACUAAGCAAUGCUGAACACGCACACCCAAGGUCUAGGGGGGCACUGAACUGAGCUUAGCAAUUUGUUCCACCAUCUUCACUCAGGCAAAGCUUUUGGUGAUUUAUAGUUGCGUGGAGAGAGGGGCUAAGCUGUAACCUUGUUUAAAUGUUCACAUGCAAUUGUUUUUCCUGGAGCUCUGAAUAAAGUGCCAUCAUGCUUCUCAACAGGAAAAAAAAUUUGGAUAAGCUUUCAGAAAAGCUGAAGAA